GGGUUAUGGGGAAGUUUCAGGAACUUUUGCAUAAUUAACCCGUAGAUCUGGGGGCUAUAUUGAAAGUUUGUCUCGGUUUUCUUUUUUUCCCUAGAUCUAAAAAGGCUGCAACUUUGAAAAUUCGUAGUAAAUUGUAGAAAAAUCGUAAAAUAGCAAAUGAAGAUGUUUUGGAAUCCUUGUGAGAAGAGUUAUGCAGUAGAGUCAUAAUAUGAUAUGUGUUAGUAUAAAAUUUCUUAUGUGAGAUGGGGUACGUAUGAUGCUAAGUUAUGAUAAGUAGUGGUUAAGCUUUGAAUAUAACUCAUAUGUAUGCUCUGAUGUUAAUAUAACAGCUACUUAUAUAAGUUCUUC
rnacentral:lncRNA from 1 species